GAGAGAGAGAGAGAGAGAGGGAGAGAGGGAGAGUGAGAGGGAGGAGGGAGAGGUUGGGAGUUGCGCGCACUCUCCCGCUGAUCACCGCUACCUUUGUGCACGGAGAGUUCGUCAGUAGUGGGGCAGAUGCCGGCGGGGCUUUACCGCGCUAGCCCCUUCGCCGCUCGCUCACACGCACACGCACACUCACACGCACACACACGCACACACACACACCCUCACACACUUCCGCUAAAGACGUGUGCCGUGAAACCUCGCUCCGGACAAGAAGGAAACGGAAAGCAAGGAAAAAUCUACUGCUUUCAAUCUGGCUGGCGUUUUAUCAUUCUUGUUUCUUGCUUUAAGAAGUGAGACGGGAAGUUGUCGCAGAUCACGAACGGAACGGACGGACGCACGGAUGGACCACGCCACGCACGGGAAAUAAAGCAAAGCCAGGUGAGGAACAAGGAAAGAAAUGAGUUAACUGCGGGGAAGUAAUAGGAAUGUAAUAGUGACGAGUGACCGCUGUACUGCCUCCCUGCCUCCCUGCCUGCCUGCCUGCCUCCGUGUGUGCGCGUGUGUGUGUGUUUGUUGGUAUGUACAUGCGUGCGUCAACAAACUAACACGUACA